rnacentral:rRNA from 1 species
GUCCGAUUAGCUUGUUGGUGGGGUAACGGCCUACCAAGGCUACGAUCGGUAGCCGGCCUGAGAGGGUGUCCGGCCACACUGGGACUGAGAUACGGCCCAG